rnacentral:rRNA from 1 species
ACGUAGGGUCCAAGCGUUGUCCGGAUUUACUGGGCGUAAAGAGCGCGUAGGCGGUCUGUUAAGUGUGAAGUGAAAUCUCCAGAGCUCAACUCGGAAACUGCUUCGCAUACUGGCAGACUUGAGGAAUGCAGAGGUGAAUAGAAUUCCUGGUGUAGCGGUGAAGUGCGUAGAUAUCAGGAGGAAUACCCAUGGCGAAGGCAGUUCACUGGGCAUUAUCUGACGCUGAGGCGCGAAAGCGUGGGUAGCAAACAGGA